rnacentral:rRNA from 1 species
UACGGAGGGUGCAAGCGUUAUCCGGAUUCACUGGGUUUAAAGGGUGCGUAGGUGGGUUGGUAAGUCAGUGGUGAAAUCUCCGAGCUUAACUUGGAAACUGCCAUUGAUACUAUCAGUCUUGAAUAUUGUGGAGGUCAGCGGAAUAUGUCAUGUAGCGGUGAAAUGCUUAGAUAUGACAUAGAACACCAAAUGCGCAGGCAGCUUACUACACAGUAAUUGACACUGAGGCACGAAAGCGUGGGGAUCAAACAGG